GUUAGGUGGUUUCGUUUAUUGUCUGAUGAUAAGUAUUUUACAAUUUGUCGAGAUAAACAACCGCGAGUCCGCCAAUCAUUUUUUUUCAUUAUCUCGUGCAUUUUGAACCGUAUAUAAGCUCUAGAUAAAAAUGACAAACAAAUAGUAUCGUACAGAAAUUCAUAGGUAAAUUUUAUACGCUCUUGGCUAGUAAUUUUUAAGUUUUUAAGAGGAAUUGUUUGAAUUUGUUGGAACAAAAAUAAUAGCAUUGCCUUUAUAUUAGCACAAAGAAAGACAGUGAUAAUUAUGAAUAUUUCUUAAUUUAUAACAAUUUACAAUUUAUUUUUUCUGAUCAACUUAAAUAGGUAUUAGAUUUUGUAUUCGUAGCAUUUAAGUAAGCAAGUUAAACCAUUAAAUAAAUCUCCUAAAAAGUU